UUAACUAGUCUGUUAGAUGAAUAUUUACUGGACACUGAUAUAUGCCAAGCACUAUGCUAGGUAUUGAGGAAAUAGCAUGAACAAAAUUAAGUAGACAAUAAACAAACAAAAACCUAAGUAUGUAGAAAAUAUGAACAGACCAAUCACAAGCACUGAAAUUGAAACUGUGAUUAAAAAUCUUCCAACAGGGCUUCCAUGGUGGCACAGUGGUUGAGAGUCCGCCUGCCGAUGCAGCAGACGCGGGUUCGUGCCCCGGUCGGAGAGGAUCCCACAUGCCACGGAGUGGCUGGGCCCGUGAGCCAUGGCCGCUGGGCCUGAGAGUCCGGAGCCUGUGCUCCACAAGGGGAGACGCCACAACGGUGAGAGGCCAGCAUACCGCAAAAAAAAAAAAAAAAAAAAAAAAUCUUCCAACAAACAAAAGCCCAGGACCAGAUGGCUUCAUAGGCAAAUUCUAUCAAACAUUUACAGAACAGCUAACACCUAUCCUUCUCAAACUCUUCCAAAAUAUAGCAGAGGGAGGAACACUCCCAAAGUCAUUCUAUGAGGCCACCAUCACCCUGAUACCAAAACCAGACAAAGAUGUCACAAAGAAAGAAAACUACAGGCCAACAUCACUGAUGAACAUAGAUGCAAAAAUCCUCAACAAAAUACUAGCAAACAGAACCCCAAAGCACAUUAAAAGGAUCAUACACUGGGAUCAAGUGGGGCUUAUCCCAGGAAUGCAAGGAUUAUUCAAUAUAUGGAAAUCAAUCAAUGUGAUACACCUUAUUAAAAAAUUGAAGGAGAAAAACCAUAUGGUCAUCUCAAUAGAUGCAGAGAAAGCUUCUGACAAAAUUCAACACCCUUUAUGACAAAAACCCUCCAGAAAGUAGGCACAGAGAGAACUUUCCUCAACAUAAUAAAGGCCAUAUAUGACAAACCCACAGCCAACAUCGUCCUCAAUGGUGAAAAACUGAAACCAUUUCCUCUAAGAUCAGGAACAAGACAAGGUUGCCCACUCUCACCACUCUUAUUCAACAUAGUUUUGGAAGUUUUAGCCACAGCAAUCAGAGAAGAAAAGGAAAUAAAAGCAAUCCAAAUCAGAAAAGAAGAAGUAAAGCUGUCACUGUUUGCAGAUGACAUGAUACUAUACAUAGAGAAUCCUAAAGAUGCUACCAGAAAACUACUGGAGCUAAUCAAUAAAUCUGGUAAAGUAUCAGGAUACAAAAUUAAUGCACAGAAAUCUCUGGCAUUCCUAUACACUAAUGAUGAAAAAUCUGAAAGUGAAAUCAAGAAACCACUUCCAUUUACCCCUGCAACAAAAAGAAUAAAAUAGCUAGGAAUAAACCUACCUAAGGAGACAAAAGACCUGUAUGCAGAAAAUUAUAAGACACUGAUGAAAGAAAUUAAAGAUGAUACAAAUAGAUGUAGAGAUAUACCAUAUUCUUGGAUUGGAAGAAUCAACACUGUGAAAAUGACUAGACUACCCAAAGCCAUCUACAGAUUCAAUGCAAUCCGUAUCAAACUACCACUGGCAUUUUUCACAGAAGUAGAACAAAAAAUUUCACCAUUUGUAUGGAAACACAGAAGACCCCGAAUAGCCAAAGCAAUCUUUAGAAUGAAAAACGGAGCUGGAGGAAUCAGGCUCCCUGACCUCAGACUAUACUACACAGCUACAGUAAUCAAGACAGUAUGGUACUGGCACAAAACCAGAAAUAUAGAUCAAUGGAACAGGAUAGAAAGCCCAGAGAUAAACCAAUGCACAUAUGGUCAUCUUAUCUUUGAUAAAGGAGGCAGGAAUGUACAGUGGAGAAAGGACAGCGUCUUCAAUAAGUGGUGCUGGGAAAACUGGACAGAUACAUGUAAAAGUAUGAGAUUAGAACACUCCCUAACACCAUACACAAAAAUAAGCUCAAAAUGGAUUAAAGACCUAAAUGUAAGGCCAGAAACUAUCAAACUCUUAGAGGAAAACAUAGGCAGAGCACUCUAUGACAUAAAUCACAGCAAGAUCCUUUUUGACCCACCUCCUAGAAAAAUGGAAAUAAAAACAAAAAUAAAUAAAUGGGACCUAAUGAAACUUCAAAGCUUUUGCACAGCAAAGGAAACCAUAAACAAGACCAAAAGACAACCCUCAGAAUGGGAGAAAAUAUUUGCAAAUGAAGCAAAUGUCAAAGGAUUAAUCUCCAAAAUUUACAAGCAGCUCA